rnacentral:rRNA from 1 species
CAAGGCUUGACAUGCACUGGACCGGCGCAGAGAUGUGUUUUCCCUUGUGGCCGGUGCACAGGUGGUGCAUGGUUGUCGUCAGCUCGUGUCGUGAGAUGUUGGGUUAAGUCCCGCAACGAGCGCAACCCUCGUCCUAUGUUGCCAGCACGUGAUGGUGGGAACUCAUGGGAGACUGCCGGGGUCAACUCGGAGGAAGGUGGGGAUGACGUCAAAUCAUCAUGCCCCUUAUGUCUUGGGCUUCACGCAUGCUACAAUGGCCGGUACAAAGGGUUGCGAUGCCGUGAGGUGGAGCGAAUCCCAGAAAGCCGGUCUCAGUUCGGAUCGUAGUCUGCAACUCGACUACGUGAAGUCGGAGUCGCUAGUAAUCGCAGAUCAGCAAUGCUGCGGUGAAUA